GGCUACAUGCAAGUCGAGCGGGGGAAGGUAGCUUGCUACUGGACCUAGCGGCGGACGGGUGAGUAAUGCUUAGGAAUCUGCCUAUUAGUGGGGGACAACAUCUCGAAAGGGAUGCUAAUACCGCAUACGUCCUACGGGAGAAAGCAGGGGAUCUUCGGACCUUGCGCUAAUAGAUGAGCCUAAGUCGGAUUAGCUAGUUGGUGGGGUAAAGGCCUACCAAGGCGACGAUCUGUAGCGGGUCUGAGAGGAUGAUCCGCCACACUGGGACUGAGACACGGCCCAGACUCCUACGGGAGGCAGCAGUGGGGAAUAUUGGACAAUGGGGGGAACCCUGAUCCAGCCAUGCCGCGUGUGUGAAGAAGGCCUUAUGGUUGUAAAGCACUUUAAGCGAGGAGGAGGCUACUUUAGUUAAUACCUAGAGAUAGUGGACGUUACUCGCAGAAUAAGCACCGGCUAACUCUGUGCCAGCAGCCGCGGUAAUACAGAGGGUGCGAGCGUUAAUCGGAUUUACUGGGCGUAAAGCGUGCGUAGGCGGCUUAUUAAGUCGGAUGUGAAAUCCCCGAGCUUAACUUGGGAAUUGCAUUCGAUACUGGUGAGCUAGAGUAUGGGAGAGGAUGGUAGAAUUCCAGGUGUAGCGGUGAAAUGCGUAGAGAUCUGGAGGAAUACCGAUGGCGAAGGCAGCCAUCUGGCCUAAUACUGACGCUGAGGUACGAAAGCAUGGGGAGCAAACAGGAUUAGAUACCCUGGUAGUCCAUGCCGUAAACGAUGUCUACUAGCCGUUGGGGCCUUUGAGGCUUUAGUGGCGCAGCUAACGCGAUAAGUAGACCGCCUGGGGAGUACGGUCGCAAGACUAAAACUCAAAUGAAUUGACGGGGGCCCGCACAAGCGGUGGAGCAUGUGGUUUAAUUCGAUGCAACGCGAAGAACCUUACCUGGGCCUUGACAUACUAGAACUUUCCAGANAUGGAUUGNGCCUUCGGGAUCUAGAUACAGGUGCUGCAUGCUGUCGUCAGCUCGUGUCGUGAGAGUUGGGUUAAG
rnacentral:rRNA from 1 species